UACGUAGGAGGCAAGCGUUGUCCGGAGUUACUGGGCGUAAAGCGCACGCAGGCGGUCGCAUUAGUCUGGGGUGACAGUUCCCGGCUUAAACCGGAAAAGGACUCUGGAAACUGUGCGACUUGAGGGCUUCAGAGGGAUGUGGAAUUCCAGGUGGAGUGGUGAAAUGCGUAGAGAUCUGGAAGAACACCAAAAGGCGAAGGCAGCAUCCUGGGAAGUUCCUGACGCUCGGGU
rnacentral:rRNA from 1 species